ACACGUCAGAACCAAAAUGGCUACCCCGGGUUUCUGUUUUGUUGUGGGAGGCACACUUUCAAAGUAAACGAGACUUAGGGAAGUCGCAGUCUCGUGGAAGUCAGUGGAAGAGUUCCCGCUAGUGUGAAGUAUUAAAUAUACCCCUUGUCUCGACAACCGACCGACCGAACCUUUGAAGAAAGGAUGUCUCAGUGGGAGAAGCUGACGAAGAUGCCGGCUGCCUUCACUCAGCAGUUACACGAUCUGUACGACAAGGAAGCUCUCCCCAUGGAUGUCCGACACUACCUGUCCUCCUGGAUAGAAUCACAGCCGUGGCAGCGAGCAGCAGGCGACUAUGACCUGGCCAAUGUGUUGUUCCAGGGGCUGCUGGAGAACCUAGACAUCCAGUACAGUCGCUUUUUACAAGAAGAGUCCUUCUUAAUGCAGCACAACAUUCGCCGCUAUAAGCAGAACUUUCAGAGGUACCAGAAGAACCCAUGUAUCUUGGCAAGGAAUGUCUGUUGGUUUCUGCAAAAAGAGGAGGAGAUCUUGCAGACUGUAGUUCUGGCUGAGCAGGUCCAGGCUUUGCAAGUAGAACAAGGAGGCUUAGUGAGCAGCACCCAGCAAGACCUUGACCGUAGAACGGCCAGCCUGAAGAAUGAAGUGCAGUGUAUGGAGCAUACGGUGGCGUGUCUGGAGGAGCAGCAGGAUGAGUUUGACUUUAAAUACCAGACGUACUGCAUGGAAGCCGUGGCAAGCGAGGCAGAGACGGAGAAAUUUCAAAUGCUCAUCAACAAAGUCAACGAAUGCAGACAGGACACGCUGAUAGGCCUGAAAAAGCUCUUGACCAACGCAAAGGCCCUCACCACCUUGGUGAAGAAGGAGUUGGCGCAAUGGCAGAGGAGGCAGCAGAAAGCCUGCAUCGGGGCUCUAGACAGCGUUUGCCUGGACCAGCUGGAGAAAUGGUUCACGUGCGUGGCAGAAUGUCUCUUCCAGGUACGCGAGUUCCUGUGCAAGCUGGAGGAGUUGGUUGGGAAGGUGACCUACGAACAUGAUCCCGUCAAGGCCCAGAAACCUAUUCUGCUGAAGGAGACUGAAAGAAUCCUGACAGAUCUGCUCAAGAGUUCCUUAGUGGUUGAAGUCCAGCCAUCCAUGCCUCAGGGGAGGAGUCCCCUGGUUCUGCGCACGGGUAUGCAGUUUUCCGUUAAGACCAGAAUCCUGGUCAAGUUUCCUGAGCUGAAUCAUUCCAUGAAAGUCAUCACAUCCAUGGACCGCGAGGCGCCUCAGAUCAAAGGAUAUCGUCAUUUCAACCUGCUGGGCACCGUGACCAAAGCCUUGAGCAUGGCGGAGAGUCAGAGCGGCGGCAUGGGGGCCGACUUCAGGCACCUGACUUUGAAGGAGCAGAAGCCAGGAGGAGGCGGCAAAGGAGCCAACGAUCUUUCCCUCAGCGUAACAGAGGAAUUACACAUCAUCUGCUUUGACAGUCUGUUUGAGCUCAAAGGCGUGGCGGUGGAGUUGCAGGCCAGGUCCCUCCCAGUGGUCAUCAUCUCCAACUCCAGUCAGCAGCAGAGCGCCCGAGCGUCCGUGCUGUGGUUCAACACUCUCAGCCUGGACACAAAAGAUGUGCUGUUCUUUGCCAACCCUCCAGCGGCCACUUGGCAGCAGUUUGGCCAGAUGCUGAGUUGGCAGUUUCUGUCUGCCGCCCAGCGAGGUCUGGAUGACGAUCAGCUGGAAAUGAUCGCACAAAAACUUUUUGAGCAGCAGCAGAAUUAUGACAUGUGCAGUGUCGCUUGGGCCAAGUUUUCCAAGGAAAAGAGUCCUGACACUUUUUGGGUGUGGUUUGAUGGCAUCGUGGUGAUGGUGAAAAGCUACCUGGAAGACUUGUGGCGGGACGGCCUCAUCAUGGGCUUUGUAAGCAAGGGCAAAGAGAAGACCCUCCUGAAGAAAAAAGCGAGGGGCACCUUCUUAAUACGCUUCAGUGAGAGCGUGAUUGGUGGAAUCACCUUCUCCUGGGUGGAAACCAUGACUGGUGAUCCCAAAGUCAAGACCAUUCAGCCUUUCACCAAAAGCGACCUCUCUCAGAUUCCCUUCCAUGAAAUCAUCAGGAAUUUUCUCAUCCUGGAGGAUGACAAUGUUCCAGAGAACCCUUUACUCUAUUUAUAUCCCAACACGCCCAGAGACGACGCUUUUGGAAAAUACUACACCGACAAGACUGGAAAUGACAGCCCUUAUUUAAAGUACAUCAAAACCCAACUGGUGUUUGUUUCCAAGGAGAACACGCUGGAGGCCGUACCGCUCAUGCUCACUGACAUGCCACGGGACCAACAUCCACAGACUAUGAACGGUGAGAGCGCAGAGGCUGCUGGUGAGUCACCACAACAACCAUUCUCCCCUCCUCGCUGUGGGGGUCCCAGGAAAAGCGGACUUGGUGGGAAUGUUGCCCUUCAUCCACCAUCCUGGUGUGAGUCAUGAACACACGUCCUCCUCACACAUGUACCCGCCAAAGAUAUGGAAAGAUAUGCUAAGAAUGUACGUCAUGGGACACGCCUUUUCCACCUAGCCCCGCCUCUCAGCCAUUCAGCUGGGAUAGGCUCCAGCACCCUGACCCUCGUGACCCUCGUGACCCUCGUGAGGAUAAGCUUAGAAUAAUGCUUGUUUUAUAUACUAAUAGAUGUUCAAGCUCAUUUUGUACAAAAUAAACACAGUUAGUACCCUGACACACUCUUACUUACAGCUUGCUCUUCGGACUCUUCAACACCACCAAGUCACGUUGGAAAGGCAUCGGACCUCAGCAACAGUUGGCCGGACCGUCCAGAUUCGCCCAUGCUCACAAAACCUUUCCAUAUUUUCUCUCGCUGGCCGGGAAUCAGCAUCUCUAACCACUUCUACCUGACGCUAGUUGGGUUUGGCUAGCUUCCACUCUCGCUUGCGGAGCGUGAGUGGAAGCUAGCAGGGUUAGCUUAUGUGGUUGUGGGUGUGACCCCGGCUGGAUGAGUAUAUUUUCACCAGGUUGGGUUUCACGGCUUUAAUGGAAGGAAGGUGUUACAGUGUAAGGAAGGUGUUACGGUGUAAGGAAGGUGUUACGGUGUAAGGCAGGUGUUACAGUAUAAGGAAGGUGUUACGGUGUAAGGAAGGUUUUACAGUAUAAGGAAGGUUUUACAGUAUAAGGCAGGUGUUACAGUAUAAGGAAGGUGUUACGGUGUAAGGAAGGUUUUACAGUAUAAGGCAGGUGUUACAGUAUAAGGAAGGUGUUACGGUGUAAGGAAGGUUUUACAGUAUAAGGAAGGUUUUACAGUAUAAGGAAGGUGUUACAGUAUAAGGAAGGUGUUACAGUGUAAGGAAGGCGUUACAGUGUAAGGAAGGUGUUACAGUAUAAGGAAGGUGUUACAGUAUAAGGAAGGUUUUACAGUAUAAGGAAGGUGUUACAGUAUAAGGAAGGUGUUACGGUGUAAGGAAGGUUUUACAGUAUAAGGAAGGCGUUACAGUAUAAGGAAGGCGUUACAGUAUAAGGAAGGUGUUACGGUGUAAGGAAGGUUUUACAGUAUAAGGAAGGUGUUACGGUGUAAGGAAGGUUUUACAGUAUAAGGAAGGUGUUACGGUGGUAAGGAAGGUGUUACGGUGGUAAGGAAGGUUGUGCCCGGUGUGCCCGGUGACCAUGUGGAAGUUCUGAGUGGAAAAAGAGAAGCAUGUUUAUUUUUGAACGUAGCUCAUCUUAGCCGUAAAUACACAUUCUCAACACACAGAACACACUACCUUGACCGCUUAACAAUAAGCGCGCUGUUUGCCCCAUGUCUGUGUAAACAAAAAAAGGGUGUGAUAAAAAUAUCUUCCAUAUGUAGUAGGAAUGGCAUGGGUGACUACAUCUUCCUUCAUGACAAGACCAGGCAUGACACUUGGUUGGAGAUUUAGUAGCAACGUGUGCAGAGGCUGUCAUCCAUUACAACAGUUAGCCAGAUUGUUACCAAUAAAUACACGUGCUUUACAAUAGACAAGCUUUGUAGCUUUUUAUACAAGAGUCUGCUGAAUUAAAAUGUUAGUUCCUUUACGUCAUAUCGUGAUACAUCCCAUAAACAUCCUGAUCUAUGCUAAGCUUCAUAUGGCCCAACCCUUUUUAGCAGACACAGAAGAGAGAGAGACGUGCGUUCAUGUCCCACAUAAGGAUCGUGGAUGAUGGGCAACAUUCCCCUUUUCCUUGAAGGACCAGCACUGUUUGGGAGGACUGAGCGAUGACAUCCUAGAGACUCAUUUGGAUCUCCACGUGGACCCCAUGCUGUACGACUCUGCUGCAAACUCAGACGAGGAUGUCGUGUACUCCAGCAGCCCUUUCACUGACUCUCAACUGCUGGACGUAUCUUUG